rnacentral:misc_RNA from 1 species
AAAUGGAAAUCUCUAAUUGAAGAGAAAUAAAAUGAUGAUGGCUGGCAGAAGUCAUUUUGGAUACAGUACCUUAAUGAUCACUUGACUCUAUUAAUUUCAUGGGAUAUUUGCUAUGCAUUUGCACCUAAAUUCAGAUUAAUUAAUUAUUAAUUGAUGAUCAUUGAUUCCCUUGAUUGUCAAUUAUGUUGGCAUAUCUUUACAGGAUUAUACAGGUGAACACGUUA